GACGAACGCUGGCGGCGUGCCUAAUACAUGCAAGUCGAGCGAAUCAAUAGGAGCUUGCUCCUGUUGGUUAGCGGCGGACGGGUGAGUAACACGUGGGCAACCUGCCUGUAAGACUGGGAUAACACCGGGAAACCGGUGCUAAUACCGGAUAAUUCUUUCCCUCUCAUGAGGGAAAGUUGAAAGUCGGUUUCGGCUGACACUUACAGAUGGGCCCGCGGCGCAUUAGCUAGUUGGUGAGGUAACGGCUCACCAAGGCGACGAUGCGUAGCCGACCUGAGAGGGUGAUCGGCCACACUGGGACUGAGACACGGCCCAGACUCCUACGGGAGGCAGCAGUAGGGAAUCUUCCACAAUGGACGAAAGUCUGAUGGAGCAACGCCGCGUGAGCGAUGAAGGCCUUCGGGUCGUAAAGCUCUGUUGUUAGGGAAGAACAAGUACCGGAGUAACUGCCGGUACCUUGACGGUACCUAACCAGAAAGCCACGGCUAACUACGUG
rnacentral:rRNA from 1 species